UACGUAGGGUGCAAGCGUUGUCCGGAAUUAUUGGGCGUAAAGAGCUUGUAGGCGGUUUGUCGCGUCUGCUGUGAAAUUUCGGGGCUCAACCCCGAACUUGCAGUGGGUACGGGCAGACUAGAGUGUGGUAGGGAAGACUGGAAUUCCUGGUGUAGCGGUGAAAUGCGCAGAUAUCAGGAGGAACACCGAUGGCGAAGGCAGGUCUCUGGGCCAUAACUGACGCUGAGAAGCGAAAGCAUGGGAGCGAACAGG
rnacentral:rRNA from 1 species